AUCCAGGGGAUUUUCCUGACCCAGGGAUUGAACUGGUAUCUCUUAUGUCUCCUACACUGGCAGACAGUGCUCCAGGCCAGUGGAGAGUGGCCAGCGCAGCUGAGGAAGCACAAAGAAACUCGCCUACCUCGGAGCCGCUUCAGCCGCUUCUCUUUCCUCUUCUUGCGAACAAUGAAGAGCAGCGCCACCCCCAGUGUGGCCAGGAUGACCGGGCAGCCGAUGGUGAACAGCUUCUUCACGUCGUCCCCCUCGCCUUGUGCAGACUUGAUGGGCGGGAUGGUGCCUGAACGGGGGUGAGGAAGGGAGUCAGAUGUCCCUAGGAGUCGAGUGUUAUGCAGAGUCUCAUGGGCAACAUAGCCCUUGGACCUCUCUUGCUGCCUUUGGUCUUACUCCAAUCUCUACUUCCCAGUUCAGAGCCCCAGCUCUCUCCUCUGCUCUCCCCAAGUUCUGGUCCCGUCAGGACAGCCAUGAGUGGUUGUGUAGUUUUUGUACUGCAUAUGAUAUUAAAGACUCCUAAAGGUC